GACGAACGCUGGCGGCGUGCCUAACACAUGCAAGUCGAACGGGGUGAUUCGCUUCGGUGGAUCACUUAGUGGCGAACGGGUGAGUAACGCGUGAGAAACCUGCCUUUCAGUGGGGGACAACAGUUGGAAACGACUGCUAAUACCGCAUAACGUAUUUUGGGGGCAUCCCUGAAAUACCAAAGCUUUAUGUGCUGAAAGAUGGUCUCGCGUCUGAUUAGCUAGAUGGCGGGGUAACGGCCCACCAUGGCGACGAUCAGUAGCCGGUCUGAGAGGAUGAACGGCCACAUUGGGACUGAGAUACGGCCCAGACUCCUACGGGAGGCAGCAGUGGGGAAUAUUGGGCAAUGGGGGGAAACCCUGACCCAGCAACGCCGCGUGAAGGAAGAA
rnacentral:rRNA from 1 species